GACGAACGCUGGCGGCGUGCCUAAUACAUGCAAGUUGAGCGCUGAAGGUUGGUACUUGUACCAACUGGAUGAGCAGCGAACGGGUGAGUAACGCGUGGGGAAUCUGCCUUUGAGCGGGGGACAACAUUUGGAAACGAAUGCUAAUACCGCAUAAAAACUUUAAACACAAGUUUUAAGUUUGAAAGAUGCAAUUGCAUCACUCAAAGAUGAUCCCGCGUUGUAUUAGCUAGUUGGUGAGGUAAAGGCUCACCAAGGCGAUGAUACAUAGCCGACCUGAGAGGGUGAUCGGCCACAUUGGGACUGAGACACGGCCCAAACUACUACGGGAGGCAGCAGUAGGGAAUCUUCGGCAAUGGACGAAAGUCUGACCGAGCAACGCCGCGUGAGUGAAGAAGGUUUUCGGAUCGUAAAAAUCUGUUGGUAGAGAAGAACGUUGGUGAGAGUGGAAAGCUCAUCAAGUGACGGUAACUACCCAGAAAGGGACGGCUAACUACGUG
rnacentral:rRNA from 1 species